UACGUAGGAGACGAGCGUUGUCCGGAGUUACUGGGCGUAAAGGGUGCGCAGGUGGCGGCGCGCGUGGGGGGUGAAAUCGCCCGGCUUAACUGGGCGGGGGCCUUCCAGACGGCGUGGCUUGAGCAGCGGAGGGGGACGUGGAAUUCCGGGUGGAGCGGUGAAAUGCGUAGAUAUCGGGAGGAACACCAGUGGCGAAGGCGAUCUUCUGGACGGAUACUGACGCUGAGGCGCGAAAGCUAGGGGAGCAAACAGG
rnacentral:rRNA from 1 species